rnacentral:lncRNA from 1 species
AGGAAGCCGCUGACCAGUCUCUGCCACUGUGGCAGUUGUGUAAUAGCCUGAUUGUGCAGUGGAAUGGUUUCAGCAGCUAUUCUUGGCAGAGUGCAAAGAAGACACACCUAGUCUUCUGCACCACAAGGCUAUGUUAAUGAAUACGUAACUUCUUAUAGGUCUCUUUGCUUGGAGUUGCUGUAUGCUGAAGAAAAUAACACUAAGACUUGCUGUUUCUAUGGCAUGAGAGUGCUGCAUGACAGCUUCUUUUGUGAACAUGUUUGCCAACGAUGCCAUGCAGCAGGCGUUUUCCAACUGGCAUAGCCAUACAUUUAGUUUUCAUUUUCUGUGAUCGCACACAUUUACUCGAAAUCUGUUUUUUGCAGGUUCGCGAGUUCAGAGACCUUGGAGGGAGAAAUGCCAGUGCAGCUACAAAGCGUAUUCUUGCAUACACCCUUCAUGAUGACCUGGCCACACUUUUUUCGUGGGUUGGCCGAAAGGGGAAACUUAGUUUCUCUAGUCUGAAGACUACAGCUGCAAUUAUUGUUGCUGCAAGACGGAUGACAGAAGGCAGCACUAACGAUAUUGAAGACACCAUCAAAUCGUGGCUAAGGCAUGCUCCAGAAAGGGCCGGCAGCCAUAAGAAGCCAAGCGCUGAGGUCUGCCUGCCUCAAGAAUAAGUGGAGGCCAUUCCAUUGUAAAGCACUGCAGCUAUGACCUGAAGACUGCACAGGCAUCGGAGGCUGCUUGGUUGUGGGCGUGUGCAUCUGGUGGAACAUUGGGGAUCUGCUGGGCUACGCCAAGGCAUGUUUCGUGGACUAGAGGCAGCUACUCAGGGAUCUUUUUUUUUAACUUUGCACAGUGCAU